rnacentral:rRNA from 1 species
CAACUCGUAACGCUGGAUGUCUCGGUUCCUACAUCGAUGAAGAACGUAGCAACCUGCGAUACGCGAUGCGAAUUGCUAUUCUCGUGAAUCAUUGAAUUUUUUUUGAACGCAAGUUGCGCUCGCGGGUAAUCCCGUGAGCAUGUCUGUUUGAGUGUC